UACGAAGGGGGCUAGCGUUGCUCGGAUUGACUGGGCGUAAAGGGCGUGUAGGCGGUUCGUACAGUCAGACGUGAAAUUCCUGGGCUCAACCUGGGGGCUGCGUUUGAAACUGGCGAACUAGAAUCUGGCAGAGGGGGGUGGAAUUCCACGUGUAGCAGUGAAAUGCGUAGAGAUGUGGAGGAACACCGAUGGCGAAGGCAGCCCCCUGGGCUGAGAUUGACGGCUC
rnacentral:rRNA from 1 species